AUCAUUCUAGGUACAAAGGAGUUGAGCCGAACUCCAACCUGUCAGGCUUGAAAUUCAAAAAGUCUGAAAAUUUUAGACUCAUCUUGACUCGAAACUCAAAUAAUUACCAUGUCUACAUGAGCAAUGAUCUCAUCAUCGUCGUACUUCUAGAAACACAUCCCUGCUUGGUGCUAUAUAAACCGAGGACAUAGCUACUGAUUUCAUCUCUAUCUCUCCCACUGUCAGUUACUGUAAGGAAAUGGGUUAUGCAGGUUUUGUUUUGGUGGCUCUGGUAAUAGUUGUUAUUACAAACAUAUGGAGAUUGUUUAAGAUUGUCGUGUGGAGGCCAUAUGUUUUGACUAAGAGCUUUGAGAAGCAAGGAAUCAAAGGCCCCCCUUACAAGCUUCUCUACGGUUCUCUUGCAGAGAUGAAGGAGCUGAAGAAAGUUGCAAGAAAAACUGUUUUAGAUACAAACUCCAAUGAUAUUAUUCAUAGAGUUGUCCCUCACUAUCACAAAUGGUUUUCUCAAUACGGUCAGUUUAAUUAUUUCUCCUCUUUUAUCGUAUUCUGGUAAUUAAUUGGUGUAAUUAUCAUUAAAAAUCUUAUAUAUAUAUAUAUAUAUAUAUAUAGAAAAAGAGAGAGAUAAUAAAAAUAAUAACUCUAAGAAAAACAAAAUCAAGAAGCAACAUGGGCCAUUCAAUAGGAUUUUGUUUGGUACGUGGAUCAUGCCAAAAUCUAAAAUAAUCUCUUCAAAAAUGACAGUUCUCUGCCUCUCAGAUUUGAUAACAUUUUGAAAGGAUUUGUCUCUUAUAAGUUAAAAGGCAGUUUUAUAUAAUGAUGUAUUUAUAUCUAAAUAAUUAUAAUUUUAAGUUUAGUUAUUUAUAAAUUAUUUUGAUAUAAAAUCUAUUUCAUAAUAAAUGGACUUGAAGCCAUCAUAAGUGGCGCCUUGAAGCGACUGAGGUUCAAUCCUUAACUUUAUGCUAUGAAACAUUCUAUUUCUAAUCCUCUCAGGUGAAACAAUACUAUAUUGGCAUGGCACAACACCGAGAAUCACAGUGACAGACCCAGAGCUGGCCAAACAAAUCCUAUCAAACAAAUUCGGCUUCUACGUAAAACCCAAACCAACGCCUUCAAUUCUAAAACUGACGGGUCAAGGAUUGAUUUUUGUGAAAGGAGGAGACUGGGUUCGCCAUAGAAGAGUUCUUAAUCCCGCUUUCUCUGUGGACAAGCUCAAGGUCUCUCAAACCUGUCAUCAGCUAAUUAUUUCUUUCUCUUUUCUGGUCUAAUUAAAUUUAGUAACAUUGUUUGUGACUGAAUUUGGCAGAUUAUGAUAAAGAAAAUGGCGGACUGCACCAUUGCAGUGCUCGAUGAGUGGAAUAAUCAGUGUCAUUUAUCUGAUAACGAUCAACGUACUGUAAAGAUAGCGAUGCAUGAAAAUUUACAAAAGCUUACAUCUGAUGUAAUUGCCCAUACUGCUUUUGGUAGUAGUUACAAGGAAGGCAGAGAAGCCUUUUAUGCACAAAAAGAGCUUCAAAAAUGCUGUGCAGCUUCAAUUUCUGAUGUUUUCAUUCCAGGCACCCAGUAAUUCUCCUACUCGCUCAAAUUUUGCCGUUUCUCCACCUAUUUUUUCUUUUUCUGAACCUGUUAAAGGAAUUCAGUAUAGUGAUUUUUUUUUUCCUCUUUUGGGGUCUUCGUAGGUAUCUACCCACUCCAAUGAACCUUCGCAUAUGGAAGCUAGACAAGCAGCUGACAAAUACAUUAAAGGGAAUAAUAGAAAGUAGAUUAAAAACAGCACAAUCAAGUUUAGACGGUUGUUAUGGAGAUGAUUUGCUGGGUAUAAUGAUAGAAUCAUUAGUAAGUAAAACAGCUGAAAGCAAAAAUAGUCCAAAAUUAAGCAUGUGUGAAAUAAUGGAAGACUGUAAAACAUUCUUCUUCGCCGGGCAAGAAACAACCGCAAAUUUACUAACUUGGACAACUUUCUUGUUGAGCUUACAUACAGACUGGCAAGAAAAACUUAGAGAAGAGGUGCUGAAAGAAUGUGGAAUGGAAAUUCCUGAUGCAGACAUGUUGGCCAAAUUAAAAUUAGUUAAUAUGGUUUUGCUCGAGGCUCUAAGGCUUUACGGUCCUGUAAUAAUGUUAAUCAGGAAAACGUCAGAAGAUAUGAAACUGGGAGAUUUGAUGAUUCCAAAAGAUACAUCCCUUACAAUUCCCCUGGUAAAAAUUCAUAGGAGCAAAGAAUACUGGGGAGAGGACGCAAAUGAGUUUAAUCCAUUGAGAUUUGCUAAUGGGGUGUCAAAGGCUGCGAAACACCCAAAUGCUUUGUUAGCGUUUGCAAUAGGGCCAAGAAUUUGUAUUGGGCAGAAUUUUGCAAUGUUAGAAGCAAAGACUGUGCUUGCUUUGAUUCUUCAGAGGUUUUCGCUUUCGCUUUCGCCUGAAUAUAAACAUGCUCCUGUGGAUUAUCUUACUCUCCAUCCGGAAUAUGGUUUGCAGGUUAAUGUAAAAUCGUUGCAUUUGUAAUGUGGGAACUGCCAUUUCUAUCUCCCUAAAGGUCGUUUUUUUUUUUUUUUUUUUUUUUUUUUUUUUUUUUUGUUUUCUUUGAAUAAAAUGUACGACGGUAAAUUCCAACGUUUGAAGUGAUUGAAAUCUUUGGAUUCUUGGAGACAGUCCACAUCAUAUAUGAUAUUGCUGAUGUAUUAUAUAAAUUUUUCCAUGGGUAAAGUCACUGAGUUGGAUCCAAUGAUAAACAAUUUGACUUUAUGAAGAUGUAAUUUUAGCUUUUCCGACUCCAAUGAUUGACAUAUACACUGCUCACAAAGCUUCCGGAUAAUUCAUGUUUCAUUUAAUGCUUAAUGUUCACCCAGUCAUAGAACACAAGAACAGGGAGAAAUCUGAAGCACCUAAGAUGUCAAAAAGCUCCAUGACAGUCUCUCAAACAACGACGGAGCCAGAAAUUAUUCGUAGAGGGGAAAAUAUAUUUAUUAUUUCAUACAAUAUAUAUUACGUAUCAUUUGUAUAGGAAAAAAUAAUUUUAAAAUUUUAAAUAUAUUAUUAAUGUAAAUUUAAAGUUUGAUUUUCAUUAAAAUAAAUAGUUUUCUGAGUAGAGGUAGAAUUAUUUUUAUUGCAUUUUGUGUAUUUAUAAUUUAUAUGUAUAAAUAAAUGGUUUAACAUUGAAAAUAUAUAUACAAUUUGAUAUUGAUGAAUUAUUGUGGAAAAUACAGAGUCUGUCAUAUAUGAAGUGAUAAAUAGUUUUUAAAAUAUUAAUUUUAAUUAUAUAAUAAAAUUUGUUUCAUAAUUUUAUUUAAAUUAUUAUUAAAAGAACUAUUUCUUUAAUUUUUAAAUUUAAAAAGGCUAUGCUUAAAUAUUUAAUAAAGCAAAGGAAAUUAUAAAAGUAAAUCAUAGACUAUCAUUUACAGUAAAAAAAAGCUUUUAAAUUAUGCGAAUUGUAUAUUUAUCUAAAGAAUUAAUCAUAUCCACGUUCACACUUAUCUUUUAACUAGAUAAAUUGAUUAUAUUAUAAUAAAAAAAAUGUAAAUACAAAUAGUAUAAAUUCAACACUAGGAUAAAAAUAAAUACCCCAAAUGAAAAUUAUUAAAAUUUUCAUAAAAUCUCAACCGAAUCUCUUUUUUCCUUAAAAAUUAGCAAAAUAUGAACCGGCAUGACAAAAGUGGUUCGAAUACUAAGUCGGCUUUUUGGCUACAUAUGAAAAAAAAAAAAAAAAGUGACGUUGACGAGUUUGUCCAUGUCUAGAUAACAUGAAAACGAAAUAUCUUUGAUUUCAAACCGUUUAAUUUGUAUGGUAUACCAUGCUAAAUCGAAAUAACUAAAAAUGCGAAAUUUAUAGAUCAAAUCGAACCAAGUUUCUGCAUAGGCCAAACUAAAAUUUUGAUUUUAUAUGCUAAAUUAAAUUUUCGAACUUAAUGCGACUCAAUUUAGUACUCAAUACAAGCAAAAUGAGAAAGAUGUGUGAUAGACGAUGACAAGCAACUCUACGAAAGCCUCAAAAUGGUGAUAUUACAACAGGGAAAUUAUCUGGUUGGGGCCAAUGAAAUUAAAGAUAGCCUUACAGUUUCACGAAGCCCAUGUUUAUCUGGGCAAUUAAUUAUCUCAGCCUCACCCUAUAUAUAUUUAUAUAAGUAAACUGAAAUUUAGCAUUCAGAGAGUUUGAUCAAAACGUAGAAUGGGCUAUUUCGUUGCUUUUGUAGUUGCUGUGGUAGUAAUUCUCGUUACGAAUAUUUGGCGUCUGUGUUGGAUUCUGCUGUGGAGGCCAUAUGUGUUAACUAAAACCUUUGAGAAGCAAGGAAUCAAAGGCCC
rnacentral:lncRNA from 1 species